rnacentral:lncRNA from 1 species
GUGGACUUUGGGCAAUUCAUUUCCUCUCCCUAGGUCUCUGUCUCCCUGCCUGUACAGCAGGGUUUGGAAUAGCUUCUACCUCAUCAGAAAAAUGAACUGAUGUUUGUAAUGAGCUUACAGAAAUGCUUGGCUUGAAUAGAUAUUUGUGAGAUAGAUUUUUUUUUUAAAGGAAGCGAAUGGAUGAAGAAGCUGAAGAUGACACACCUUUGUUGCCGAUGUCUUCAAGAGGCCGACUCAGAUGCAGAACACUGACUGUCCGAACCCUGAUACCCAUGCUCUGCUGCACUAAGUUCCUGGGAUCUGACCUGAGCCACUACAGUGACAAAGCCAGAUACUUAACCCACUAAGCCACACAGGAAAUCUGGUAGGUCUUAGAUUGAAAUUAAAAGCUGAUGUUAAUAUCUGGGGGUGAUGGUGAGAGAUUCCUCACAAUUUUAGAAAUAAGAUAGCCCUUAUUUUAUUUUUAAUUAUUAUUUUUCUUAUUUUAUUUUAUUUUUUUUUUGGCUUUUUAGGGCUGCACCCAUGGCAUAUGGAAGUUUCCAGGCCAGGAGUCAAAUCAUAGCUGCAGCUCCGAGACCAUGCCACAGCCACAGCCACAUCCACAGCCACACCAGAUCUGAGCUGCAUCUGUGGCCUAACCCAACCACAGCUCAUGGCAACGCCAGAUCCUUAACCCACUGAGAGAGGCCAGGGAUCAAACCUGCAUCCUCAUGGAUACUAGUCUGAUUCGUUACUGCUGUGCCAUGAUGGGAACUUCCUAUUUUUAAUUUUUGUUAACUUUUCUUGACAUUAAAAUUGGAAAAUCCUUACUCAGUGGAUCUGAUUAGCCAUCUAUAUGUGGUGAAUGGAGAGUUUGGGAACAACUGACACUCGGGAUAGACUGAGGCAUAUCAGAAAGGAGAAUGAGCAUGUGAGUGUAACUUUAUGAUGCAGGUAUGGGAAUAUUUGCUUCCUAUCCUGGCUUGGAGGAAGCCUCUAUGAAUAGAACAAGGUUCAUCAACUAUAGAGGUUUAGAAAGGCCAAAUCACAGAAGACAAAAUAAUCAGGGCAAUGACUUGGCAAGACUCUCCCCUCUUGGUUGAGUGUCUUCUGAUAUUAAGAUUCUCUCAGGGAGUUCCUGUCAUAGCUCAGCGGUAACAAACCUG